AGAGUUUGAUCCUGGCUCAGGAUGAACGCUGGCGGCAUGCCUAAUACAUGCAAGUCGAACGAGAGGAAGGAAAGCUUGCUUUCCUAAAUCUAGUGGCGAACGGGUGAGUAACACGUAGGUAACCUGCCCAUGUGCCCGGGAUAACUUCUGGAAACGGAUGCUAAAACCGGAUAGGUAGCAGACAAGCAUUUGACUGCUAUUAAAGUGGCCUUGGCCAUGAACAUGGAUGGACCUGCGGUGCAUUAGCUAGUUGGUGAGGUAACGGCCCACCAAGGCGACGAUGCAUAGCCGGCCUGAGAGGGCGGACGGCCACAUUGGGACUGAGACACGGCCCAAACUCCUACGGGAGGCAGCAGUAGGGAAUUUUCGUCAAUGGGGGGAACCCUGAACGAGCAAUGCCGCGUGAGUGAGGAAGGUCUUCGGAUCGUAAAGCUCUGUUGUAAGAGAAAAACGGCACUCAUAGGGAAUGAUGAGUGAGUGAUGGUAUCUUACCAGAAAGUCACGGCUAACUACGUGCCAGCAGCCGCGGUAAUACGUAGGUGGCGAGCGUUAUCCGGAAUGAUUGGGCGUAAAGGGUGCGUAGGUGGCAGAUCAAGUCUGGAGUAAAAGGUAUGGGCUCAACCCGUACUGGCUCUGGAAACUGAUCAGCUAGAGAACAGAAGAGGACGGCGGAACUCCAUGUGUAGCGGUAAAAUGCGUAGAUAUAUGGAAGAACACCGGUGGCGAAGGCGGCCGUCUGGUCUGGAUUCUGACACUGAAGCACGAAAGCGUGGGGAGCAAAUAGGAUUAGAUACCCUAGUAGUCCACGCCGUAAACGAUGAGAACUAGGUGUUGGGGGAAUAACUCAGUGCCGCAGUUAACGCAGUAAGUUCUCCGCCUGGGGAGUAUGCACGCAAGUGUGAAACUCAAAGGAAUUGACGGGGGCCCGCACAAGCGGUGGAGUAUGUGGUUUAAUUCGAAGCAACGCGAAGAACCUUACCAGGCCUUGACAUCCCUUGCAGAGGUAUAGAGAUAUAUCCGAGGUUAUCAAGGAGACAGGUGGUGCAUGGUUGUCGUCAGCUCGUGUCGUGAGAUGUUGGGUUAAGUC
rnacentral:rRNA from 1 species